rnacentral:rRNA from 1 species
GAUGAACGCUAGCGGCAGGCCUAAUACAUGCAAGUCGAACGAUAUUUUCCAGCUUGCUGGGAGAGAAAGUGGCGCACGGGUGCGUAACGCGUAUGCAACCUACCUUUAUCAGGGGGAUAGCCCGGAGAAAUCCGGAUUAAUACCGCAUAAAAUCACAGAACGGCAUUGUUCAAUGAUCAAACAUUUAUGGGAUAAAGAAGGGCAUGCGUGUCAUUAGCUAGUUGGCGGGGUAACGGCCCACCAAGGCGACGAUGACUAGGGGAUCUGAGAGGAUGGCCCCCCACACUGGCACUGAGACACGGACCAGACUCCUACGGGAGGCAGCAGUAUGGAAUAUUGGUCAAUGGAGGCAACUCUGAACCAGCCAUGCCGCGUGCAGGAAGACCGCCCUAUGGGUUGUGAACUGCUUUUAUCCGGGAAUAAACCUCCGAUCGUGAUCGGAGCUGAAUGUACCGGAAGAAUAAGGAUCGGCUAACUCCGUGCCAGCAGCCGCAGUAA